rnacentral:rRNA from 1 species
GACGAACGCUGGCGGCGUGCCUAAUACAUGCAAGUUGAGCGAUGAAGAUUGGUGCUUGCACCAAUUUGAAGAGCAGCGAACGGGUGAGUAACGCGUGGGGAAUCUGCCUUUGAGCGGGGGACAACAUUUGGAAACGAAUGCUAAUACCGCAUAACAACUUUAAACAUAAGUUUUAAGUUUGAAAGAUGCAAUUGCAUCACUCAAAGAUGAUCCCGCGUUGUAUUAGCUAGUUGGUGAGGUAAAGGCUCACCAGGGCGAUGAUACAUAGCCGACCUGAGAGGGUGAUCGGCCACAUUGGGACUGAGACACGGCCCAAACUCCUACGGGAGGCAGCAGUAGGGAAUCUUCGGCAAUGGACGAAAGUCUGACCGAGCAACGCCGCGUGAGUGAAGAAGGGUUUCGGAUCGUAAAACUCUGUUGGUAGAGAAGAACGUUGGUGAGAGUGGAAAGCUCAUCAAGUGACGGUAACUACCCAGAAAGGGACGGCUAACUACGUG